CCAGAUUUUCUGAAUCUAUUGGUCGUUUGGACUGGGAGACUCUUGUGCACGAAAAUCUGCCCGGGCUAAUGGAAAUGGAUCAGGAUGACCGUGUUUGGCCCAGAGACUCACUCUUCCGAUAUUUUGAGUUGCUAGAAAAGCUUCAGUAUAACCUAGAGGAACGUAAGAAGUUACAAGAGUUUGCAGGAAAAAAAAAGGCCGGGCACGGUGGCUCACACCUGUAAUCCCAGCACUUUGGGAGGCCGAGGCGGGCAGAUCACAAGGUCAGGAGAUUAGGAUCAUCCUGGCCAACAUGUGCAGGCACUGAUGAACUUGGAAGACAAGUAAAGCAAUGGAUGGCUUCAAUAUCCUUGGGCCCAGCAAAAGAUAAUGAAGGGAAUUGUUGGAAAUAGAGAAUUGAAAAUAUAAACAUUCAGAUAGAACAAUGUCUGUUCAUUAAAAUUAAAAAGUAUAAGUG
rnacentral:lncRNA from 1 species